rnacentral:rRNA from 1 species
UACGGGGGGGGCAAGCGUUGUUCGGAAUUACUGGGCGUAAAGCGUGCGCAGGCGGUUUUGUAAGCCAGAUGUGAAAUCCCCGGGCUUAACCUGGGAAUGGCAUUUGGGACUGCAAGGCUGGAGUGCGGCAGAGGAGACUGGAAUUCCUGGUGUAGCAGUGAAAUGCGUAGAUAUCAGGAGGAACACCGAUGGCGAAGGCAGGUCUCUGGGCUGACACUGACGCUCAUGCACGAAAGCGUGGGGAGCAAACAGG